UCUCUCUCGCGCACGAGGCACGACGCCGCAUCACCGAGCGCCGCUUAUUCCUCCUUUCUCAUGCUCUCAGCUCUCCGCCUCUCCCUGUCUCCCGACCCACAUCACCGACUGGCGACAGCGCACGGCGGCGGGCGGCGACACGCACUAGUGGCGGCGGGGCGGCGGCGCGCAUCCGCGGACGGGAGGCGGCGAGGCGCAUCUCAGCAGCAACCAGCAGGCAGGGGCGCAGGGCGAAGGGAGGGGCAGCAGCAGGCAGCAACAGCAAGCGAGGGAGGGGAUCGGCCGUGGCUGCGGCGCACAGUCGGCGGCAAGGCAGCCCCCUUUCUCAGCCCACAAAUUUUGAUUCCUAUUUCCCCAAAUCAAGAUGAAGAGGAGCAGAACUUUAACAUCAUUCUACCAAAUUCAGUCCAGUGAGUCCACUCCAACCCUAGAAACAGAAGAAAUUGAUGAAUCUACCCCAACCACAGAAACAGCAGGAACCGGUGCUAGUAACAACGCUCAAAAUAAUAUUGUGCUUGCUCCGAAUGUAGUUGUUGCUGACCAUGUGCUUCGCACACCAACUGAACAAUUGGAUGUGAACAUUAGGGAUGCUGCUAGAAGGGAGUAUUUGUUAUUGGGUCCAUAUCAACAAGUUGAAUCAUAAAUAUCCACAAACAAAAAUAGGAGGAGUGAACAGGAGCUUUCAGAAGACAUGGUUUAAAAAACACAAAUGGUUAGAGUACAGUGUUGCUAAGGAAGCAACCCCGAGUUGAGAAUUAUGGUUUUGAAUGCUAGGUACGUCGUGUUAGGUACUCUAACAAAAUUUUAGUCUAGUCUUGUACUUAUUUUACACUUUUACUGUACUUCAGUGCAUAUUUAGAAAUUGUAUUCCAGUCUUGCAUUUUUUUCCGUACUUGUACUAUUACUUCCUUGUACGAAUUGAUAUGGAUAGUUGUUAGCCUUUAAUUUGAGCC